UACUCGACUUUUUUGUUUUCAGAACAUCUCAUCUGCCUUAAGAGCAUCAGAUAAUUCCUUAAUAGCUGCUGCUAUUUCCUCAGUCGUAACAUCAUCAUUCGAGUAUAAACCCUCGACCUUCUCAUUAAGAUCCUCCACUUGUUGUGCUGAAUUCAAAUUGUGUUGUCGCCUCCACUGGCUUAAGGCUUUAAGACAACUCGAAAUAUGCUCCAUUAUGUUUGCGUCAGGAGGGAGAUCUGAAGACUUCCAUUCCUCAAGAAUUACAUGCCUUAGUUCCUCACUAUCCAACCAUUUCUUAUCAAAUUUGAAUUUUUUUUAUUUUUUUGUUGGUUUUGUGAGAAUAUCUGCUAGGACCGGACGAUGAUCCGAUCCCCAUAACCUCAUGUACUUUACCGUAGAGUGAGGAAAAUUCUCAUGCCUAUCCUCAUUUCCAACUGCUCUGUCAAGUCGGCAUCUAACAACUGUGCUUCCAGCUCGUUUUCAUACCCAUGAUAACAUAUUCUUCGAGAAUGGAAACUCCAGAAUAUCACAAUCACUCAACAUAUGCUUAAAUGGUAGAAACGAGCUAUCAGGGCGUCGUCUGCCCCCUUUUUUCAUUAUGUUCAGUGAUCUCAUUGAAGUCUCCAGUCAUAAACCAAGGUCUAUUUCGUGUCAUUGAGAAACGCGUAAGACGUUUCCAAACUUGAGUCUACGUUCUAACACAAGGUCACCAUAAACAAAUGUCAUAAAGACUUUUAUUCCAUCAAUGGCCGUCUCAAUGUCAAUUAUUAUGUUAUUUGAAAAUAAAACAUUAACUUGAAAUUCAUCCAUAGAAAAUAAAGAUAAACCACCCACUACAAGAAAACAGCGGUAUUUUGACGGACAUUCCGACGGAAAAUGAAAUCCUCGGAAUAUCCCGAGGAAUUUCUGAGGAAAUUCCGAGAAAACACAAAAUUUGGUUUCCUCGGAAUUU
rnacentral:lncRNA from 1 species